UUUUCUAAAGAUAUAACGUUAGCCACGGAGAACUGCAAAUAUGUUGCUACUGCUCUCAAUAACAUUGCUGACCUGAAUUUAUCAGGCGCUAUCGACAAAGGUCAGUGGGAAAAAAUUGUGAUGGACUACUUUCUGGAGGAUGAUCGUGCCAUGCUGACUCUCUCUGACUCUGAAAAUAAAUCAGACGAUGAGCAAAUCCCUGAUUUAGGUAAAAACAUUUUCAUUGAAGAAAACAUUGUAGAGUCUUCUGAUGACGGUGAUGGGGAAGAAACGGAGAUCAGUUUUGUUGUCACAGAAGAAUUGUACCGAGUUUUGAAAUCAUUGGAACACAACUGGCCAAACAAGCUGUGCAAACUAAACGGAAACAACAAAGGACGUCUUAUUUGAUGAAAGGGGUUGCAGUCUGCCGUGAAUCUUUCAUUCAUGUAUACGGCAUCAGUUGAACACGCCUGACUCUCCUCCACCAGUCAUACAAGGAGAAUGGUCUAAUGCCCCUUAUCAAAAAGAGAGGUGGCCCAAGCAAACAAAGGCAGCAGCGCUGUCAUCAACUACACGCACCAUUUCUUCACCAACUAUGGAGGUGGGGAAACACUUGUGGACCUGAAUUUUGAUAACUGCGGUAGUCAUAACAAGAACAAGUUUGUGCUCUGGCCUCAUCAAGCAGCGCUUCAGAAAGACCAGAGUGGACACUUUGUCUGAGAUUGCUGGUGUUGUGAAUGACAGCACUGUGACAGGGGUCAACAUCCCACAGCUGGUUGGACUGGAGGAAGGUAUGGCUGGCAACAACACCUGACUCCGUACUUCAGGCCGCUGCCACAGAUCAAGCAGUACCAGCACUUCAGCUUCGAUGCUCUGGAGCUUGGUGUUGUCGCCAAGGAGCUUUCAGACUGUCGGGACCAGGUUUCAGCUGCUGCGCAACGCUGACAUCCUUCCUCCCUUAGAUGGUGUGCCUGUACAAGCACCACCUGGACUGGACCCAGCAAGACAAACUUAUCUUUUUAAGAUCAGUGAGUUUUGCGACAAAGGAGGCAAUGGACAUCACAUGCCCUGCUCCAAAGUCAAGGGCAGGACAGAAACAGGCUCUCCGAUAUAGAUUCCCUUGUUCAUGCGUGGUUCGGACGGACCAGUCAUCAGCACUCUCUGCAGUGCCUCUAUUCAAAUCCUCUCUCUUAAUUAACUCACAUGCCAUACGUUGCUGCUACUAUUUUUUUUAUCCCCCGAUUGUAUGCAUAUAACUACCUCGUCUAUCACUGAUUAUCACUGUUAUUGAUAUUGUUCUUGUACAUACUGUAUAUAUUAUUUUGACACUAUCUAUUUCUAAUAUUGCUACUAUGCAAGUAAUCAUUUGGCUGUACCGUUUACACUUUCUGUAGAGACCCAUCCACUUUGCAAGAAUUAGCAAAAUAUUGAUAUAUAAAAUUAAUCAUGAUAUGUGUGGUCGUAACAUGAUUUUGUGACAGACCACAACAAUAUCAUGUGAAUGUAUCAAGUGUCCACCACAUAAUAUAUAGUGCAUCCACAAAAAUAUAUGACGCAUGCAUCGGUUUAUGUUCUGUACAUGUGCACCUCACUUAGGUUUCAAUUCAGGUUGUGUGUGUGUGUAACAGUAUGCUAAUGUACUGGUGUGAAGGCAUUUGGGCAGUGGUCAAAAGUACUUAGGUAGUACUUUAAAGUAUUUUUACUUACAUAUUUUUGGGGGGUAUCAGUACAUUACUUUACGAUUAAUUUUUUUGGCAACUUUUACUUCACUACAUUCCGAUUUUUUUUUCGAUCCGAUUUUAUUUUUACUCCAUACAUUUUCCUUGACACCCAAAAGUACUUGUUACAUUUUGACAGGAAAAUUGUCCAAUUCACAUAAGAGAACAUCCCUACUGCAUCUGAUCUGGCAGAAUCACUAAACACAAAUGCUUUGUUUGUCAAUUAUGUCUGAGUUUUGGAGUGUGCCCCAGGCUAUCCGUCGAAAAAACAAAUGUGCCUUCUUGUUAGGAAUUUGAAACGAUUUAUACUUUUACUCAAGAAUGACAAUUUAGUACUUUUUCCACCACUGGAUGUGGCGGGAGGAUAUAGCAUUUCUUUCACAUGACCCAUCAAUUUAGACAAGUGUGUCUGGGUAAGCGUCACCUAAUAUUCAUAAAUAUUUUUAUCUUGACAGUAUCUUUUACAUGGAAUUUGUCCUUAUUGUAGGCUACUACCACUUUU